UGGAAGUAGAAGAGAGAACCUUCAGCGUGUUUGCCAGGUAGGAAAUGGUGAAAUUAGACAUGUACAACUGGCGGCCCUCAUGUCAAGUUUGAAGGCCUGUCUGCUGCCCUGCUGUGAGGCCCUUCCCAAGCACUGGCCACAGGUCAGACGUGAGUCAGCCUGCUGUCAGGGUUCGUGGAGUGGCCUCCUGAGAGGGAGAGGCCUGGGAGGGAACUUAGAAAGGGGCAUGAUGGUGGAUGGUGGGGCAUCAUCUCCCACAAGAGACCAUGGAGGAUGAGUUGGAGUGGUCCGUAUGCAUUUUCAAUAAUAUUUUAUUGUGUUUUUGGUGAAGGUUUAUACAGCAGUUUAGGUUUCUGUUCAACAAUUUCUACACAGGUUGUUUGGUGACAUUGGUUACAUUCUUCACAAUGCGUAAACAUUCUUGUUAUGUCUGUUCUGGUUGUUGUUUCCAUUCAUCCAGUUUCCCUGCUUCCUUACAUUCUCAUCUUUGUUUUCAAGUAACUGUUGAUUGUUUGGUCUCAUAUAGGAGCACAGUACUUACAGGUGAUACUCGUUAUUUUUUGAGCCAAUUUUUUAUUUAGCUACGAGGUGACCUCUGGUUAGUUUUGAUUCAAGGUUUGAACAGUAUCUCAGGCCAGUAGACUCGGGGAGUCCUCCAGUUUCAACCAGUCCUGUAAGUUUUUUUUUUUUUUAUUAAAGGAAUUUGAGAUUCCGUUCCACAUUUUUCUCCCGUUCUAUCAGGGUCCAUCUAUUGUGGCCGUUCCCUAUGCGUUCUUAAGCCUGCUAGUACUAGAUCCUGGUUCCACUCCUCUUGAACCUGGUUCCCUCAUUUUUCUUGUCCCUUCUGCCUGUUUACUUUUAUUGAGGUAAAUAUAUAUGUAAGAAAGUAUCUGACAUUUAGACAAUCGCCACGUGCUCAGUUCAGUGAUAUUAAUUAUGUUCCUCACGUCGUUCAACCACCAUCCUUCCUCAUUCCCAAAUUACACCUUCAGUUGAUUUCUUAAUGGGAAAAAUAUAUUUUAAGAGUCUUUCUUCAUGUCACUUUUCUUUUUCAAGAAACAAAGCAUUACAGAGGAAGCUGUGGUCCCCUUUGUUCCCGUGCCCAGUCCCAGUCCCCUCCCUCUGUCCCCAGAGGAAACCACCACUGGGAGGUUGGCAUACAUCCUUCCCGAACAUGCUUUUCUGCUUGUACUACAUCUGUAUGGCCUAACACUGUAUAGUCAUUUUGUGUGUUUUAAAAAUUCUCACCUUUAUAAACGGUUUCAUCAUGUCAGUAUCAUUCUGGAAAUUGCUUUUUUCAGUUUUUGAGUUCUAUAUUAUUAAUUGGAGCCCGGGUGGUACAGCAGUUAAGAGUUCGGCUGCUAACCAAAAGGUCAAUAGUUUGAAACCCUAUGGGGCAGUUCUGCUGUGUCCUGUAGGGUCGCUAGGAGUUGGAAUUGAGUUGGUGGCAACGGGUAUAUUAUCAAUUGCAGUGGCUAUGUAGUGUAACAAUAGUGUGAACAUACAAAGUUUACUCAAUCUCCUAUUGAUGGACAUUAGGCUGUUUUUCACUUUUUAAAUUUUUCAGAAUAGUAUGGCAGUAAAGAGGAGCCCUGGUGGUGCAGUGGUUAAGUGCUCGGCUGCUAACUAAAAGGUUUGUGGUUCAAACCCACCAGCUGCUCCAUGGGAGAGAGAUGUGACAGUCUGCUUCCACAAAGAUUACAGCCUUGGAAACCCUGUGGGGCAAUUCUACUCUGUCCUAUAGGGUCACUAUGAGUUGAAAUCCACUCAAUGGCAUUGGGUUUUGUUUUUCUUUUUUGUUUGGUUUAUGGCAGUUACCUGUCUCUAUGAGCCUGUGUGGCAGAGUCUUUCUAGAAUUUGACUACUCUCUUAUCCUGUUCUUUAAGCUAACUCACUCCAGGAGCUAGAACUGAACUACUUUCUGAAUGUACUUUUAUUAUUGUUUUUUUAAACAGAGAGGUAAGUUAAACAUGUUCUUGAUGAUAUAUUUAGAAUCUCUCUGAAACUUGGGAAUUCCCUUUUUGGGGUGGAUCAGUUUUUUGAGGAGUCUGUCGUUGGUUUUUACUUCCCUUUUGCUGCAAGGAACGGGUGGAGUCUUUGUAAGUCUCUCAGGCUUAUCACAGCACAGACUUCUAACCUACUGUUGUGUAACAUUUGAGCUGUAAGGAUUUGGAUGGAGAUUAUAUAAUAAUGCGACAGUGAUGAUAUACCAAGUCUUGCCAUAUACCAAGCUACUGUGCUAAGUACUUUAAACAUAUUAUUUUUUUAAUUAAUAUUUUAUUGUGUUUUUGGUACAGGUUUACGCAGCAGUUUUAGGUUCUCAUUCAACAAUUUCUACACAAGUUGUUCAGUGACGUUGCGUGAACAUUCUCAUUUUUGUUCUGGCUGUUCCAUUUCCGUAAUCUAGUUUCUCCGCCCCCUUACAUUCUCAUCUUUGUUUCAAGGUCAUUGUUGACUAUUUGGUCUCAUGUAGGUGUUUUUUUUUUAAAGAAGUACUUAUGGAUGAUGUCAUUAUUUUUGAGGCAUUUGUUAUUUAGUUACAAGGUGACCUUGGCAGUUAGUUCUGGUUCUGAGUUCGAAGAAUAUCUCAGGGCAGUAGUCUUGGGGAGUCUGCCAGUCUCAACCAGUCCGGUGGGUCUGUUUUUUUUUUUUUUUCAUAAGGAAUUUGAGGCUCUGUUCUACAUUUUUCUCCAGUUCUAUACAGAUUCAUCUUUUGUGGCCCUGAUCAGAAUGGUUAGUAGUGGUAGCCGGGCACCAUCUAGUUCUUCUGGUCUCAGGGUAAAUGAGGCUGUACAUGUUAGAUGUAGACUACUUGUCCUAUAGCCUAGUUUCCUCUUUGAGUCUUUGGUUUCCUUCUUUCUCUUUUGCUCUGAAUAAGUAGAGACCAAUAGUUGUAUCUGCACAUAUUAUUUUAUUCCCACAGACUUAUGAGUAAGUACCAUUAUUGUCUUCAUUUCAUAGGUGAGGAACCUGAGGCAUGGAGGUGAAGUUACCUGUCCAAGUUCUCAUAGCUAUUAAGUUGCAGAGCUAGGACUCCAGAAACUGUGUGUUUUGGUUUUUUGUUUGUUUGUUUUCUUCUUUUCCCCAACUUUUUAAUGUGAAAAAUUUUCAGACCUAUAGAAAAAUGAAAGAUGAAUAAGUGAACACCCAUAUUCCCUUCCCCUACCAAUUAUUAACAUUUUGCCAUAUUUGCUUUUUCUCUUUAAAAGUGUGUUUGUUUGUAUGUACAUACUUUUUUUGGUGAACCUUUUGAAAGUAAGUUGCAGGCACUGCAUUCAUUUUUACCUCUAAAUACUUAACAUGUCUCCUUUGAAUAAGGACAUUUCUGUCUAUAACCAUAACGUCAUUAUUAUAUACAAGAACUUUUGUACUUCCACCAGCGAUGAACGAGAGUGCCAGUUUUUCCACAGCCUCUCCAUUUGAGGGCGUUGCCAAGCUUUUCAUUUUCGCCAAUCUGAUAGGAUGAAAAAUUGAUGAUUAUGUUGCCUUAUGAAGAGCCUUUUUUAUUUUGAGGAGGAAUAAAGUAUAGAAAAAAAAAAAAAAAAGUAGCACUCAC